UGGCGAACGGGUGAGUAACGCGUGAGGAACCUGCCCUAGAGUGGGGGACAACAGUUGGAAACGACUGCUAAUACCGCAUAAGCCCACGGUACCGCAUGGUACUGAGGGAAAAGGAUUUAUUCGCUUUAGGAUGGACUCGCGUCCAAUUAGCUAGUUGGUGAGGUAACGGCCCACCAAGGCGACGAUUGGUAGCCGGACUGAGAGGUUGAACGGCCACAUUGGGACUGAGACACGGCCCAG
rnacentral:rRNA from 1 species